rnacentral:rRNA from 1 species
AGUGAACGCUGGCGGUAGGCCUAACACAUGCAAGUCGAACGGCAGCACAGUAAGAGCUUGCUCUUACGGGUGGCGAGUGGCGGACGGGUGAGGAAUACAUCGGAAUCUACUUUUUCGUGGGGGAUAACGUAGGGAAACUUACGCUAAUACCGCAUACGACCUACGGGUGAAAGCAGGGGAUCUUCGGACCUUGCGCGAUUGAAUGAGCCGAUGUCGGAUUAGCUAGUUGGCGGGGUAAAGGCCCACCAAGGCGACGAUCCGUAGCUGGUCUGAGAGGAUGAUCAGCCACACUGGAACUGAGACACGGUCCAGACUCCUACGGGAGGCAGCAGUGGGGAAUAUUGGACAAUGGGCGCAAGCCUGAUCCAGCCAUACCGCGUGGGUGAAGAAGGCCUUCGGGUUGUAAAGCACUUUUGUUGGGAAAGAAAAGCAGCAGGUUAAUACCCCGCUGUUCUGAAGGUACACAAAGAAUAAGCACCGGCUAACUUAGUG